UUGACCAAUAAUAAAAGCACACGU
rnacentral:siRNA from 1 species